GUGUUGUUGGGUAGGGGAGCGUUCUGUAAGCCUGUGAAGGUGGCCUGUGAGGGUUGCUGGAGGUAUCAGAAGUGCGAAUGCUGACAUAAGUAACGAUAAAGCGGGUGAAAAGCCCGCUCGCCGGAAGACCAAGGGUUCCUGUCCAACGUUAAUCGGGGCAGGGUGAGUCGACCCCUAAGGCGAGGCCGAAAGGCGUAGUCGAUGGGAAACAGGUUAAUAUUCCUGUACUUGGUGUUACUGCGAAGGGGGGACGGAGAAGGCUAUGUUGGCCGGGCGACGGUUGUCCCGGUUUAAGCGUGUAGGCUGGUUUUCCAGGCAAAUCCGGAAAACCAAGGCUGAGGCGUGAUGACGAGGCACUACGGUGCUGAAGCGACAAAUGCCCUGCUUCCAGGAAAAGCCUCUAAGCAUCAGGUAACAUCAAAUCGUACCCCAAACCGACACAGGUGGUCAGGUAGAGAAUACCAAGGCGCUUGAGAGAACUCGGGUGAAGGAACUAGGCAAAAUGGUGCCGUAACUUCGGGAGAAGGCACGCUGAUAUGUAGGUGAAGCGACUUGCUCGUGGAGCUGAAAUCAGUCGAAGAUACCAGCUGGCUGCAACUGUUUAUUAAAAACACAGCACUGUGCAAACACGAAAGUGGACGUAUACGGUGUGACGCCUGCCCGGUGCCGGAAGGUUAAUUGAUGGGGUUAGCGGCAACGCGAAGCUCUUGAUCGAAGCCCCGGUAAACGGCGGCCGUAACUAUAACGGUCCUAAGGUAGCGAAAUUCCUUGUCGGGUAAGUUCCGACCUGCACGAAUGGCGUAAUGAUGGCCAGGCUGUCUCCACCCGAGACUCAGUGAAAUUGAACUCGCUGUGAAGAUGCAGUGUACCCGCGGCAAGACGGAAAGACCCCGUGAACCUUUACUAUAGCUUGACACUGAACAUUGAGCCUUGAUGUGUAGGAUAGGUGGGAGGCUUUGAAGUGUGGACGCCAGUCUGCAUGGAGCCGACCUUGAAAUACCACCCUUUAAUGUUUGAUGUUCUAACGUUGGCCCCUAAUCGGGGUUGCGGACAGUGUCUGGUGGGUAGUUUGACUGGGGCGGUCUCCUCCUAAAGAGUAACGGAGGAGCACGAAGGUUGGCUAAUCCUGGUCGGACAUCAGGAGGUUAGUGCAAUGGCAUAAGCCAGCUUGACUGCGAGCGUGACGGCGCGAGCAGGUGCGAAAGCAGGUCAUAGUGAUCCGGUGGUUCUGAAUGGAAGGGCCAUCGCUCAACGGAUAAAAGGUACUCCGGGGAUAACAGGCUGAUACCGCCCAAGAGUUCAUAUCGACGGCGGUGUUUGGCACCUCGAUGUCGGCUCAUCACAUCCUGGGGCUGAAGUAGGUCCCAAGGGUAUGGCUGUUCGCCAUUUAAAGUGGUACGCGAGCUGGGUUUAGAACGUCGUGAGACAGUUC
rnacentral:rRNA from 1 species